rnacentral:rRNA from 1 species
CCCUUAGAUGUUCUGGGCCGCACGCGUGCUACACUGAGUAAUUCAAUGGGUAAGGGAACGCUAGAGCAUUACCUAAUCUUGAAAUUUGCUCGUGAUGGGGAUCGACGGUUGCAAUUUUCCGUCGUGAACGAGGAAUACCUUGUAGGCGCAUGUCAUCAUCAUGCGCCGAAUACGUCCCUGCCCUUUGUACACACCGCCCGUCGCUCCUACCGAUUGAGUGAUCCGGUGAGGCUCUGGGACCUGGACGGAAAGAGCGUUUCGCUUGUUCUGUUUGGGAAACUUGGUCGAACCUUAUCAUUUAGAGGAAGGAGAAGUCAUAACA